AUUAAGAAUUGGUGGAAAAAAUUGCGCAACCUGGCUGGAUUUCCUUCUAAAUCCUCAGACUACCCCCUAUUUUAUUAAAUGAUACCUACUUAGACGAUAAUAAGGAUAAAGCAAAUGCAUUUAAUCGUUAUUUUUGUGAUCAAUCGAGUGUUGAUGACUCAUCUGCAAAUAUCCCAGAACUAAAUUUAGAUGAAAUCAUACAUACAUUAGAUAAUAUAAUUAUAACGCAAGAGGAAGUUUAUGACCAACUUCUCUUGUUAGAUGUGUCUAAGGCAACAGGCCCCGAUAGCAUUAGUCCAAGAUUUCUUAAAU
rnacentral:lncRNA from 1 species